AUUGAACGCUGGCGGCAUGCUUUACACAUGCAAGUCGAACGGCAGCGCGGGCUUCGGCCUGGCGGCGAGUGGCGAACGGGUGAGUAAUACAUCGGAACGUGCCCAGUAGUGGGGGAUAGCCCGGCGAAAGCCGGAUUAAUACCGCAUACGACCUGAGGGUGAAAGCGGGGGAUCUUCGGACCUCGCGCUAUUGGAGCGGCCGAUGGCAGAUUAGCUAGUUGAUGGGGUAAAGGCCUACCAAGGCGACGAUCUGUAGCUGGUCUGAGAGGACGACCAGCCACACUGGGACUGAGACACGGCCCAGACUCCUACGGGAGGCAGCAGUGGGGAAUUUUGGACAAUGGGCGAAAGCCUGAUCCAGCAAUGCCGCGUGUGUGAUGAAGGCCUUCGGGUUGUAAAGCACUUUUGGCGGGAACGAAAAGGACUGUGCCAAUACCACGGUUCGAUGACGGUACCCGCAGAAUAAGCACCGGCUAACUACGUG
rnacentral:rRNA from 1 species